GUUGCAAUGGGUCACCGUAUUGUGUACGGAACAGUGAGGAAGCGGCUACAGAUCAUGGUUUAACCUCAAAUAACAGUAAAAUUCACGAGGUAUGCCCCAAAUUUCCACCAGCUAGCUGCCCAUUGAAGCCUAGACAUCGUUCUUUAGAACAGUUGAAUCAUCUACAGAGCGGUCGACUAUUAAGGACGAACAAAGUGGAGCCAUGUGGUUUUAAAACAAUUUCAAAGCCUCUACGUCCUCCGUGAUAACGUGUACAUCAGACGUAAAAGAAAGCCCUGCUGCUGUUAGAUGUCAAAUUGAGUGUAUGAGUGACAAAUAAAUCUACACGUUACAUAAACUGGGCCACGAUCACACCUACUUCAUUGUCAUGACACACAUAUUACACAUAUACAUACAUACACAAACAUAUAUAAAUUGAUAGAUUAUAAUGCAAACAUCAUUAUACAUGCAUAUGUAAGUGUAUAUAUAUAUAUAUAUAUAUAUAUUUCGUUUUGGGAUUUGGUUUGCAAGAUUCUUUAUGUGUGUCUGGGGAAAGUCAUUUUCUUUUUGUGCCUUAUAAUUUAACACUCACCGAUAAAAUUUCCACUUAUUCUUUAUUUUUGUUUUCCUAAAAUUUUCGCUGCGUCUUGCAACCUUUUCAAGAGUCAAGACUAUUGAAAGGGUUGUAAGACGCAACGAAAAUUUGAGGAAAAUAAGAAAUAAAUGGAAAUUUUACCGGUGAGUGUGUUAAAUUAUAAGGCACAAAAAGAAAAUGACUCUCCCCAGACAAAACAGUAUAUAUACAUAUAUAUAUGCAUAUAAAAAUAUAUGCAGAUAUGCAUGCAUACAUACAUACAUACAUACAUACAUACAUACAUACAUACAUACAUUCAUAUAUAUAGCAACUCAUGCAUAAUGCAAUGAAAUCAAUGAAAUUAUUUUAUC